rnacentral:rRNA from 1 species
GACGAACGCUGGCGGCGUGCUUAACACAUGCAAGUCGAACGGUGAAGCGAGUGCUUGCACUCGUGGAUCAGUGGCGAACGGGUGAGUAACACGUGAGUAACCUGCCCAUCACUCUGGGAUAAGCACUGGAAACGGUGUCUAAUACUGGAUAUGACCAACCCUUGCAUGGGGUGUUGGUGGAAAGAUUUAUCGGUGAUGGAUGGACUCGCGGCCUAUCAGCUUGUUGGCGGGGUAAUGGCCCACCAAGGCGACGACGGGUAGCCGGCCUGAGAGGGUGACCGGCCACACUGGGACUGAGACACGGCCCAGACUCCUACGGGAGGCAGCAGUGGGGAAUAUUGCACAAUGGGCGAAAGCCUGAUGCAGCGACGCCGCGUGAGGGAUGACGGCCUUCGGGUUGUAAACCUCUUUCAGCAGGGAAGAAGCGAAAGUGACGGUACCUGCAGAAGAAGCACCGGCUAACUACGUG